AAUUCUCAAACCACACUUGUUGUGGCUUGGAUAGUUGGGUGUUGCCUGCUUUUUAUAACAAGUAGGCUCUCCUUAAACAUAUAAGUGGUAUUUUUAGAAACUUGUUAGGUGUUGUAAAUUAUUAAUACAUCUAUUGUUUCUGAAUAAUACUGCUUCUAACCAAACCCUUUCUUUGAUGA
rnacentral:misc_RNA from 1 species